rnacentral:rRNA from 1 species
AACUUUAAACAUAUCAAUAAGCGGAGGAAAAGAAACUAACAAGGAUUCCCCUAGUAACGGCGAGUGAAGUGGGAAAAGCUCAACUUUGAAAUCUGGCACCUUCGGUGUCCGAGUUGUAGUCUCAAGAAGUGUUUUCUGUGCCGGCCCGUGUAUGAGUCUGUUGGAACACAGCGUCAUAGAGGGUGACAACCCCGUUCAUGACACGGAUCCCGGUGCUUUGUGAUACACUCUCGAAGAGUCGAGUUGUUUGGGAAUGCAGCUCAAAUUGGGUGGUAAAUUCCAUCUAAAGCUAAAUAUUGGCGAGAGACCGAUAGCAAACAAGUACCGUGAGGGAAAGAUGAAAAGCACUUUGGAAAGAGAGUUAACAGUACGUGAAAUUGUUGAAAGGGAAACGAUUGAAGUCAGACGUGCGUGAUGCGGUUCAGCUCUGGUUCGCCAGAGUGUACUCCGUAUCUUUGCAGGCCAACAUCAGUUUCGCGAGUCGGAUAAAGGUUAGAGGAAUGUGGCACCUCCGGGUGUGUUAUAGCCUCUGACUGAAUACGAUUUGUGGGACUGAGGAACGCAGCGCGCCGCAAGGCAAAGGUUUCGACCUUUUCGCGCUUAGGAUGUUARGUGCAAAUGGCUUUAAACGACCCGUCUUGAAACACCGGACC